rnacentral:rRNA from 1 species
AUGAACGCUGGCGGCGUGCCUAAUACAUGCAAGUCGAGCGAACAGAUGAGGAGCUUGCUCCUCUGACGUUAGCGGCGGACGGGUGAGUAACACGUGGAUAACCUACCUAUAAGACUGGGAUAACUUCGGGAAACCGGAGCUAAUACCGGAUAAUAUAUUGAACCGCAUGGUUCAAUAGUGAAAGACGGUUUUGCUGUCACUUAUAGAUGGAUCCGCGCCGCAUUAGCUAGUUGGUAAGGUAACGGCUUACCAAGGCAACGAUGCGUAGCCGACCUGAGAGGGUGAUCGGCCACACUGGAACUGAGACACGGUCCAGACUCCUACGGGAGGCAGCAGUAGGGAAUCUUCCGCAAUGGGCGAAAGCCUGACGGAGCAACGCCGCGUGAGUGAUGAAGGUCUUCGGAUCGUAAAACUCUGUUAUUAGGGAAGAACAAGUGUGUAAGUAACUAUGCACGUCUUGACGGUACCUAAUCAGAAAGCCACGGCUAACUACGUG